rnacentral:rRNA from 1 species
GUGAACGCUGGCGGUAGGCCUAACACAUGCAAGUCGAACGGCAGCACAGUAAGAGCUUGCUCUUACGGGUGGCGAGUGGCGGACGGGUGAGGAAUGCAUCGGAAUCUACUUUUUCGUGGGGGAUAACGUAGGGAAACUUACGCUAGUACCGCAUACGACCUACGGGUGAAAGCAGGGGAUCUUCGGACCUUGCGCGAUUGAAUGAGCCGAUGUCGGAUUAGCUAGUUGGCGGGGUAAAGGCCCACCAAGGCGACGAUCCGUAGCUGGUCUGAGAGGAUGAUCAGCCACACUGGAACUGAGACACGGUCCAGACUCCUACGGGAGGCAGCAGUGGGGAAUAUUGGACAAUGGGCGCAAGCCUGAUCCAGCCAUACCGCGUGGGUGAAGAAGGCCUUCGGGUUGUAAAGCCCUUUUGUUGGGAAAGAAAAGCAGCAGGUUAAUACCCCGCUGUUCUGACGGUACCCAAAGAAUAAGCACCGGCUAACUUCGUG